CAGCUUGCUGGGGGGAUUAGUGGCGAACGGGUGAGUAACACGUGAGUAACCUGCCCUUGACUCUGGGAUAAGCCUGGGAAACUGGGUCUAAUACUGGAUACGACCUUCUGGCGCAUGCCAUGUGGGUGGAAAGCUUUUGUGGUUUUGGAUGGACUCGCGGCCUAUCAGCUUGUUGGUGGGGUAAUGGCCUACCAAGGCGACGACGGGUAGCCGGCCUGAGAGGGUGGACGGCCACACUGGGACUGAGACACGGCCCAGACUCCUACGGGAGGCAGCAGUGGGGAAUAUUGCACAAUGGGCGCAAGCCUGAUGCAGCGACGCCGCGUGAGGGAUGGAGGCCUUCGGGUUGUAAACCUCUUUCAGUAGGGAAGAAGCGAAAGUGACGGUACCUGCAGAAGAAGCGCCGGCUAA
rnacentral:rRNA from 1 species